rnacentral:rRNA from 1 species
GACGAACGCUGGCGGCGUGCUUAACACAUGCCAGUCGAACGGAAAGGCCCUGCUUUUGUGGGGUGCUCGAGUGGCGAACGGGUGAGUAACACGUGAGUAACCUGCCCUUGACUUUGGGAUAACUUCAGGAAACUGGGGCUAAUAACGGAUAGGAGCUCCUGCUGCAUGGUGGGGGUUGGAAAGUUUCGGCGGUUGGGGAUGGACUCGCGGCUUAUCAGCUUGUUGGUGGGGUAGUGGCUUACCAAGGCUUUGACGGGUAGCCGGCCUGAGCGGGUGACCGGCCACAUUGGGACUGAGAUACGGCCCAGACUCCUACGGGAGGCAGCAGUGGGGAAUAUUGCACAAUGGGCGGAAGCCUGAUGCAGCAACGCCGCGUGCGGGAUGACGGCCUUCGGGUUGUAAACCGCUUUCGCCUGUGACGAAGCGUGAGUGACGGUAAUGGGUAAAGAAGCACCGGCUAACUACGUG